GCUAGCGGGAGGCUUAAUACAUGCAAGUCGCGGGGUAACGAUGGACUUCGGUUCAGGCGACGACCGGCGCACGGGUGAGUAACGCGUACACGACCUACCUUAUACUGAGGGAUAGCCCUGGGAAACUGGGAUUAAUACCUCAUGGUAUUAGAUUAUUGCGAUGAUCUAAUUAAAGGUUUCGACUGGUAUAAGAUGGGUGUGCGUUAGAUUAGCUAGUUGGUAAGGUAACGGCUUACCAAGGCGACGAUCUAUAGGGGGCGUGAGAGCGUGGACCCCCACACGGGUACUGAGACACGGACCCGACUCCUACGGGAGGCAGCAGUAAGGAAUAUUGGACAAUGGGGGCAACCCUGAUCCAGCCAUCCCGCGUGCAGGAAGACGGCCCUAUGGGUUGUAAACUGCUUUUAGAAGGGAAGAAAAUUACUCAUUUAUGAGUAACUGACGGUACCUUCAGAAUAAGCACCGGCUAACUCCGUGCCAGCAGCCGCGGUAAUACGGAGGGUGCAAGCGUUAUCCGGAAUCACUGGGUUUAAAGGGUGCGUAGGCGGAUAUAUAAGUCAGAGGUGAAAGCUCUGAGCUUAACUGAGGAAUUGCCUUUGAUACUGUAUAUCUUGAAUUGUGUUGAG
rnacentral:rRNA from 1 species